AACGAACGCUGGCGGCAGGCUUAACACAUGCAAGUCGAGCGCCUCGCCAGAGGAGCGGCAGACGGGUGAGUAACGCGUGGGAACGUACCCUUAUCUUCGGAAUAGCUCUGGGAAACUGGAAGUAAUACCGAAUGUGCCCUUAGGGGGAAAGAUUUAUCGGAUAAGGAUCGGCCCGCGUUGGAUUAGCUAGUUGGUGGGGUAAAGGCCUACCAAGGCGACGAUCCAUAGCUGGUCUGAGAGGAUGAUCAGCCACAUUGGGACUGAGACACGGCCCAAACUCCUACGGGAGGCAACAGUGGGGAAUAUUGGACAAUGGGCGCAAGCCUGAUCCAGCCAUGCCGCGUGAGUGAUGAAGGCCUUAGGGUUGUAAAGCUCUUUCACCGGAGAAGAUAAUGACGGUAUCCGGAGAAGAAGCCCCGGCUAACUUCGUG
rnacentral:rRNA from 1 species